rnacentral:rRNA from 1 species
CCUACGGGUGGCAGCAGUGAGGAAUAUUGGUCAAUGGACGAGAGUCUGAACCAGCCAAGUAGCGUGAAGGAUGACUGCCCUAUGGGUUGUAAACUUCUUUUAUAUGGGAAUAAAAUGUUCCACGUGUGGGAUUUUGUAUGUACCAUAUGAAUAAGGAUCGGCUAACUCCGUGCCAGCAGCCGCGGUAAUACGGAGGAUCCGAGCGUUAUCCGGAUUUAUUGGGUUUAAAGGGUGCGUAGGUGGAUUGUUAAGUCAGGUGUGAAAGUUUGCGGCUCAACCGUAAUAUUGCAGUUGAAACUGGCAGUCUUGAGUACAGUAGAGGUAGGCGGAAUUCGUGGUGUAGCGGUGAAAUGCUUAGAUAUCACGAAGAACUCCGAUUGCGAAGGCAGUUCACUGGACUGCAACUGACACUGAGGCUCGAAGGUGUGGGUAUCAAACAGGAUUAGAUACCCCAGUAGUC